GACGAACGCUGGCGGCGUGCUUAACAUAUGCAAGUCGAACGGAAAGGCCCUGCUUUUGUGGGGUGCUCGAGUGGCGAACGGGUGAGUAACACGUGAGUAACCUGCCCUUGACUUUGGGAUAACUUCAGGAAACUGGGGCUAAUACCGGAUAGGAGCUCCUGCUGCAUGGUGGGGGUUGGAAAGUUUCGGCGGUUGGGGAUGGACUCGCGGCUUAUCAGCUUGUUGGUGGGGUAGUGGCUUACCAAGGCUUUGACGGGUAGCCGGCCUGAGAGGGUGACCGGCCACAUUGGGACUGAGAUACGGCCCAGACUCCUACGGGAGGCAGCAGUGGGGAAUAUUGCACAAUGGGCGGAAGCCUGAUGCAGCAACGCCGCGUGCGGGAUGACGGCCUUCGGGUUGUAAACCGCUUUCGCCUGUGACGAAGCGUGAGUGACGGUAAUGGGUAAAGAAGCACCGGCUAACUACGUGCCAGCAGCCGCGGUGAUACGUAGGGUGCGAGCGUUGUCCGGAUUUAUUGGGCGUAAAGGGCUCGUAGGUGGUUGAUCGCGUCGGAAGUGUAAUCUUGGGGCUUAACCCUGAGCGUGCUUUCGAUACGGGUUGACUUGAGGAAGGUAGGGGAGAAUGGAAUUCCUGGUGGAGCGGUGGAAUGCGCAGAUAUCAGGAGGAACACCAGUGGCGAAGGCGGUUCUCUGGGCCUUUCCUGACGCUGAGGAGCGAAAGCGUGGGGAGCGAACAGGCUUAGAUACCCUGGUAGUCCACGCUGUAAACGGUGGGUACUAGGUGUGGGGUCCAUUCCACGGGUUCCGUGCCGUAGCUAACGCUUUAAGUACCCCGCCUGGGGAGUACGGCCGCAAGGCUAAAACUCAAAGGAAUUGACGGGGCCCCGCACAAGCGGCGGAGCAUGCGGAUUAAUUCGAUGCAACGCGUAGAACCUUACCUGGGUUUGACAUGGAUCGGGAGUGCUCAGAGAUGGGUGUGCCUCUUUUGGGGUCGGUUCACAGGUGGUGCAUGGCUGUCGUCAGCUCGUGUCGUGAGAUGUUGGGUUAAGUCCCGCAACGAGCGCAACCCUUGUUCACUGUUGCCAGCACGUUAUGGUGGGGACUCAGUGGAGACCGCCGGGGUCAACUCGGAGGAAGGUGGGGAUGACGUCAAGUCAUCAUGCCCCUCAUGUCCAGGGCUUCACGCAUGCUACAAUGGCUGGUACAGAGAGUGGCGAGCCUGUGAGGGUGAGCGAAUCUCGGAAAGCCGGUCUCAGUUCGGAUUGGGGUCUGCAACUCGACCUCAUGAAGUCGGAGUCGCUAGUAAUCGCAGAUCAGCAACGCUGCGGUGAAUACGUUCCCGGG
rnacentral:rRNA from 1 species